rnacentral:rRNA from 1 species
UACGGAGGGUGCGAGCGUUGUCCGGAAUCACUGGGCGUAAAGGGCGCGUAGGCGGCUCAUGAAGGCUGUGGUGAAAGUCCGGGGCUCAACCUCGGAUCGGCCGUGGCGACUCGUGGGCUGGAGCACUGUAGAGGCGGGUGGAAUUCCGGGUGUAGCGGUGGAAUGCGUAGAGAUCCGGAAGAACACCAGUGGCGAAGGCGGCCUUCUGGACGAGUGACUGACGCUGAGACGCGAAAGCGUGGGGAGCAAACAGG